rnacentral:rRNA from 1 species
AAAACUCUGUCCUCAAGGAAGAUAAUGACGGUACUUGAGGAGGAAGCCCCGGCUAACUACGUGCCAGCAGCCGCGGUAAGACGUAGGGGGCUAGCGUUAUCCGGAUUUACUGGGCGUAAAGGGUGCGGAGGCGGUCUUUCAAGUCAGGAGUGAAAGGCUACGGCUCAACCGUAGUAAGCUCUUGAAACUGGGAGACUUGAGUGCAGGAGAGGAGAGUGGAAUUCCUAGUGUAG